GUCAGUAGCAAGCUAUGUUCCAGUGGGGGCUGGCUGAAGCUAUCUUGGCACAGAGCAAGCUGUCCGUUAAGAGGACACAGCAUCUGAGUGUUGUGCUGGCCAAAAUGCAGGGUAAGAGACAGUUUACGCCAUACGAUUGCAUUAAAAAUUUCCCCAGCUGAAAUUUCAAGCCCUUCCAAACAGGCAUGCCUCAAAGGAAAACUGGAGAUUGGAAAACGUAAUGUAAAAUAUAAGCAAGUUUUACACAGUAUCAUCAUUUUAAAGGAUGUCAACAGUAAUUUACUGUGGGGAUGAAAGACAGAUGUUUAAUGAAACAGUCAGUGAAAAAGAAUGACUCUUGGAAGAGUGGAUAAAACAACGGCAAGAAUGGCAGGUCCUAUUGAUAGAUGGUUUCUAUCAAUAAACAGAUCUGUUUCAAGUGAGCUACAUGGCAGGAACAAAAGGCAGGAGAGGCCUUGGAGGAGACACAGGAUGAACGUGGAGCGCAGCUGGAUCAGAUCAAUCACGCUUCAUGGCCAAGAAGCUCUCCCCACCAGGCUUCUGCUUGAUGUUUAGUUACCAUAGGCUCCCUGUUUAUUCGGAGUAGAGAAGUAGUUGCCACUCAAGGGCAAUUCAGUUCAUCUGGCUCUGAAAUUAUCCCAGGGAGUACCUCACUUUAUCCUUCGGUUGAUGAAGACUAUGAUGACAGAAUUCCCAGUCAAGGCACACCAUUUGGAAGGAGCUGAGAGAAGGAGGACUGCUCUCCUCCAUACCUGCUGGCUCUUGCCAGCUCCCUGCCUUGGACAGUGGACUGGGAAACACAAGAGUGUGAGCAAUCUGGCAGCUCCUCCUCUGGCUGGGCAGCUAGCUGGAGCAGUUGCCAUAUGCAGUCAUAUUCCCUUGUCUUUGUGCUUAGAAUUAUGGAAAACCUCCAGAGAGGUUCAUUGUUGCAGAAAUCAUCGUGUAGACUUCAGAUACAGCCCGCAGUGUCCGUCACUUGGUGCUUGUCUUGAGGAAAUGCUGCAGAGGAGCCUGUUUGGAUAUCAGCUGGAGAAUUAACCUGGUCAAGUUGGCUCUGCUGAGGUAAUCACGUUAAAUGCUAAGAACGUGGUAUGCGUGACAUCAGUUUUUGGUGCCACUUCUAGAAAGGAAGAGGGAUCUUGCUAAGAUCUUGCUAAGCAGGCUAUGCUGGUUUCUCUGUGGGCCAAGGUGCAGUAAUUACAGCUGCAUGCUAAGGACCUUUUACAGAAUUCUCCUCUGCCUUCCUCCUUCUGUGAAGCAGAUCUGGAAGAAACAGCAUCAUGGAAGCCAGUGGGUUUCAUGUGUACUACACUGCUGGGCAAAGGAUAAGAGGAAGAGUGGUCACUGAUAAAUCAUCUGUGUCAUUAUCAUUUAUAUGUAUCUAUGUGGGAUGAAAGGAUUAGAGUCAUAAAUAUACUUCCUUCUCUGAUAUCCAAGCCACGAAAAUGUAGAAAAAAAUGUUUUCUCGGCUGUCAGGGGUUACAGAAGUGGUGAAAAAAACACCACCACCUCCAAAAGCUUUACUAAAUCCUGUGAGGUAGCAGGAGCAGUGCCCAGGACAUGGCAUGAGGUGCCAACAACAACAACCAGCAUAAACAAGCUCACUGCCAGUGGGUGAGGCUCCUUCAGGGUAGGCCGUAUUACCUCUGCCAUUUACUCAGUGCAGCCAAAUCCCACAGAAGAAAGAAUGGGCCAGGCACACAUUUGUUUCUGACAGAAAGCUGUGCAUCUUUUGUACACAUCAGCUGUGCUAAGCCAUCUCAUUCUGCCAAUGCAUUACUGUUGCACUGGCUGAUCUGUGAUCAGGUUCCUCCCUUUUCCGUCUGCCUGCACCCAUCUCCUUCUGCAACCCUCUGGUGUGUAUAUUCACUCUUUCAUGGCUCUGAUUCAUGAGAGUUUCUCUGUUCUGUUCAGAAGAAUAGUAGUAACUCAUGGCUGCCUUCUGGUUGGCAACUGUAAAGAAAAUCUUCUUGGCGCAUACAGAAAAUUGCAAGUUGUAUUGUCUAUGGAAGAGUCACCCCCACCGAUGUGUAAAAGGUAUUACAAACUCAUGUGGGAGCUAGCAAGUCCUUCCAACAUGCUUUCAGGUCAACUGUUUCCCCUGAGUUUUAUAUCAUUCCAUUCGAUGACAAGGAAAGUUUCUUUCAUUGUGUUCUGUUGUACUUGUAAAACAUAAAAAUGAAAUGUGUAAGCCCACGAAGUUCAUAUAAAUCCUCUUGCUCUGUUUAUUCUAGCUUGGUUCUUGUGUACACUUAUCUAUGGGUAAAAAAAAUCAUCUAAAUUUUUCUUUAUAUUGUAUCUCUGUUUAUUGUCAUAAUGGAAAUUCUCAAAACCACAAGUCACCAGAAGCACCUCAGUUCUGAACUUUUAAGCUAGUAAGUCCUGGAAGCUUUUCUCUCCAGAGCUAUUUCAAAAUGUCAAGAGAAGAAUUAUUCCAUCGCUUUAGCUAUAGCAG
rnacentral:lncRNA from 1 species